AUCGAACGCUGGCGGCAUGCUUUACACAUGCCAGUCGGACGGCAGCACAGAGAAGCUUGCUUCUUGGGUGGCGAGUGGCGAACGGGUGAGUAACAUAUCGGAACGUACCGAGCAGUGGGGGAUAACUAAUCGAAAGAUUAGCUAAUACCGCAUAUCUUCUGAGGAAGAAAGCAGGGGACCAUUUGGCCUUGCGCUGUUUGAGCGGCCGAUAUCUGAUUAGCUAGUUGGUGGGGUAAAGGCCUACCAAGGCGACGAUCAGUAGCGGGUCUGAGAGGAUGAUCCGCCACACUGGGACUGAGACACGGCCCAGACUCCUACGGGAGGCAGCAGUGGGGAAUUUUGGGCAAUGGGCGCAAGCCUGAUCCAGCCAUGCCGCGUGUCUGAAGAAGGCCUUCGGGUUGUAAAGGACUUUUGUCAGGGAAGAAAAGGGCGGGGUUAAUACCCCUGUCUGAUGACGGUACCUGAAGAAUAAGCACCGGCUAACUACGUG
rnacentral:rRNA from 1 species